GACAGCCAUAAUAAUGUGAUAUCAUGGUAACAGAAGAAUUUGUACAUAACCUCAGCGCUCACUCUAGUAUUACUGAUGAGGAAUCUUACGCUCAGAUGGUCAGGUGGUUUCCAAGUUAAAAUCAUGCUGUACUCUAUGCAAAAGGCGAGGCAUCUUCUCCACUAAUUAUGAUGACUGUGUGAUAGAAUUGAGGGUUAACCAUUGCAUUCACCUUCCUCUCUUUAGAGUUCAGCAUUCCAUGUGCCUUGAAUCAACUCCUCCUGGGACAGAAGGCAGAAUGGCGUUGUGGGAUCAUCCUUACUGGCUCUUAUAAUAUGCUUUGACAUUUUCAUAUAGCAGGAGGCCCCAGCGAGAUUCCAACCACGCCAGCCCCUUGAGGCGCCAGACUGGAGGCUUGGCCAGGCCGGAGAGAAGGAAUCCCGAGAUGAAUGAGAAGGCGCGCCACCUGACGGUAUUCCGGGUUUUCUUUCGCACCUGCGUUCUGACUCUCCAAACGGCCAAGCCCUGACCAUACUCAUUGGAGGGACGGGCCAACUCACCAGGAAUGGUCAAAGGAUAAGAUGGGAAGUUUCCUGCUCGGGAAUUGGGACCUCUAUACUGGAUUCUGCUGAUGACAAUGUAUGGACAGGUGUCAGCUUUCAGCAUCAGUUUUCCUUGCUGAACAACUUGAUGUUUAUUACUAAGGAAAAAUUGCCUUGAGAAACAUCCAUUCAUGAAAGAGUCUUUAUCAUGGUGGCAUCGGUAGCAAGGAAGCAAUUCAAUGGGAAAAAAAUUAGAAAUUUAACCUGUGAACCUAUAAUAAAAGUGGACUAUUAACAUAACAGGUGUUAGUAUGCUCUCUGGCUAAUUAAUACUUAUUUUAAAAUGCAUUAUUAGAUAGAAAAGAUGGAAGGAAUGAUUGUUG
rnacentral:lncRNA from 1 species